rnacentral:rRNA from 1 species
GAAACCAACAGGGAUUGCCCCAGUAACGGCGAGUGAAGCGGCAAAAGCUCAAAUUUGAAAUCCCCAGGGAAUUGUAAUUUGAAGAUGUUUGGGUCAAGGCCAGCAGAGGUUAAGUCCACUGGAACGUGGCGCCACAGAGGGUGACAGCCCCGUGAACCUCCUAAAGCCCCUUACCCCAAACCUCCAAGAGUCGAGUUGUUUGGGAAUGCAGCUCUAAGUGGGUGGUAAAUUCCAUCUAAAGCUAAAUACCGGCGAGAGACCGAUAGCGAACAAGUACAGUGAUGGAAAGAUGAAAAGCACUUUGAAAAGAGAGUGAAAAAGUACGUGAAAUUGUUGAAAGGGAAGGGCUUGCAAGCAGACACUUAAUUGGGCCAGCAUCGGGGCGGCAGGGAGAAAACCUCCCGGGAAAUGUACCUCUCGAGUGUUAUAGUCCCGGGCAUCCUCUCCCAUUCUGCCCCGAGGCCUGCGUAUCUAGGAUGCUGGCGUAAUGGUUGCAA